rnacentral:rRNA from 1 species
AGAGUUUGAUCAUGGCUCAGGAUGAACGCUGGCGGCGUGCUUAACACAUGCAAGUCGAACGGGCUUAGAUCGGAAGCUUGCUUUGAUUAAGUAGUGGCGGACGGGUGAGUAACGCGUGGGUAACCUACCCUGUGCAGGGGGAUAGCAGCUGGAAACGGCUGAUAAAACCGCAUAACACGGCGAUGCCGCAUGGCAAUGCCGUCAAAUAUUUAUAGGCACAGGAUGGGCCCGCGUCUGAUUAGCUAGUUGGCGGGGCAACGGCCCACCAAGGCGACGAUCAGUAGCCGGCCUGAGAGGGUGAACGGCCACAUUGGGACUGAGACACGGCCCAAACUCCUACGGGAGGCAGCAGUGGGGAAUAUUGGACAAUGGGGGAAACCCUGAUCCAGCCGACGCCGCGUGAGUGAAGAAGUAUUUCGGUAUGUAAAGCUCUAUCAGCAGGGAAGAUGAUGACGGUACCUGACUAAGAAGCACCGGCUAAAUACGUGCCAGCCGCCGC